rnacentral:rRNA from 1 species
AAGCUCGUAGUUGAAUUUCGGGAUUAGUACGUCGGUCGUGCCUUAGGUACGUACUGGUGUUACUGGUUCCUACCUUCUGACGAACCAUCAUGUCAUUAAUUUGGUGUGGUGGGGAAUCAGGACAGUUACUUUGAAAAAAUUAGAGUGUUUAAAGCAGGCUCGCGCUUGAAUACAUUAGCAUGGAAUAAUGAAAUAGGACGUUGAUCCUAUUUUGUUGGUUUCUAGGAUUGACGUAAUGAUUAAUAGGGAAGUUGGG